AACGAACGCUGGCGGCAGGCUUAACACAUGCAAGUCGAACGCCCCGCAAGGGGAGUGGCAGACGGGUGAGUAACGCGUGGGAAUCUACCUAGUUCUACGGAACAACAGGUGGAAACGACUGCGAAUACCGUAUACGACCUACGGGGGAAAGAUUUAUGGGAAUUAGAUGAGCCCGCGUAAGAUUAGCCAGUUGGUGGGGUAAUGGCCUACGAAGGCGACGAUCUUUAGCUGGUCUGAGAGGAUGAUCAGCCACACUGGGACUGAGACACGGCCCAGACUCCUACGGGAGGCAGCAGUGGGGAAUAUUGGACAAUGGGCGCAAGCCUGAUCCAGCCAUGCCGCGUGAGUGAUGAAGGCCUUAGGGUUGUAAAGCUCUUUCACCGAUGAAGAUAAUGACGGUAGUCGGAGAAGAAGCCCCGGCUAACUUCGUGCCAGCAGCCGCCGUAAGAC
rnacentral:rRNA from 1 species